rnacentral:rRNA from 1 species
GAUGAACGCUGACAGAAUGCUUAACACAUGCAAGUCUUUGGCGAAGCUGUGCUUGCACAGCCUAGCCAAGGCGGACGGGUGAGUAACGCGUAAGGAACUUGCCCUGCAGUCAGGGAUAACAGACGGAAACGACUGAUAAGACCUGGUAAAGUCAGGCGGACUCAUGUCCAGCCUGAUGAAAAGAGAUGCUGCAGGAGAGCCUUGCGUCCUAUUAGCUUGUUGGUGGGGUAACGGCCCACCAAGGCGAUGAUAGGUAGCCGGCCUGAGAGGGUGGACGGCCACAAGGGGACUGAGAUACGGCCCUUACUCCUACGGGAGGCAGCAGUGGGGAAUAUUGGACAAUGGGGGCAACCCUGAUCCAGCAAUUCUGUGUGCACGAUGAAGGUUUUCGGAGCGUAAAGUGCUUUCAGCAGGGAAGAAAAAAAUGACGGUACCUGCAGAAGAAGCGACGGCUAAAUACGUG